GACGAACGCUGGCGGCGUGCUUAACACAUGCAAGUCGAACGAAGAGCGAUGGAAGCUUGCUUCUAUCAAUCUUAGUGGCGAACGGGUGAGUAACGCGUAAUCAACCUGCCCUUCAGAGGGGGACAACAGUUGGAAACGACUGCUAAUACCGCAUACGAUCUAAACUCGGCAUCGAGGAUAGACGAAAGGUGGCCUCUACAUGUAAGCUAUCACUGAAGGAGGGGAUUGCGUCUGAUUAGCUAGUUGGAGGGGUAACGGCCCACCAAGGCGAUGAUCAGUAGCCGGUCUGAGAGGAUGAACGGCCACAUUGGGACUGAGACACGGCCCAGACUCCUACGGGAGGCAGCAGUGGGGAAUCUUCCGCAAUGGACGAAAGUCUGACGGAGCAACGCCGCGUGAGUGAUGACGGCCUUCGGGUUGUAAAGCUCUGUUAAUCGGGACGAAAGGCCUUCUUGCGAAUAGUGAGAAGGAUUGACGGUACCGGAAUAGAAAGCCACGGCUAACUACGUG
rnacentral:rRNA from 1 species